UCUCUCUCUCUUCUACUUCCUCUCUCCUCAACUAGAUCUCCCUAUUCUCUCUCUCUUUCCUCUCUCCACCGUGCCGUCGUCCAUUCCUCAUGCUUCCCUCUAUUCAUGUCCUAGCAACGGCGGUAGUGGCGCUAAGAGCUGAUACAAACCCACCUCUUGUCGUUUCCCCCUCACGAAAUGAUUUUCCCUGAAGGUGUUGAGCUUUUGUCUGACUCAUACCCCUACAAGGAACUCUUCAAUGGAUGCCUUUGGGACAUAGAUGGAAAGUGGACUGUUAAAGGUGGUGUUGAUGUCAACAUUAGUGCCAACCCUUAUGCUGAAAAAUGGGUAAACGUCUCAAGGAAUAAAUAGUAAUGUCUAAGGGGGUUGUAUGAAUAUAUGUUGAAUUCACUCAGAUGUUACCAAGCUAAGGAUUCUAUUCUGAAUUUUAAAUCUGUUGUUAAUGUUCCUCUGUUGUCUCUGAAUGAGGCUUUGUUUUGUUUGAAAUCCUAAAUCUGAUGCAAGGUCUAAGGGGGUUGUUUUGUUUGAAAUAAUGAUGAUGAUUUUGCUACUUGGAUUUGAAAAAGAUCUCGAAAAGAUGCAAUGUUUUAUUGUUUUGGUUGUAAUGAUGAUUUUGCAGCUCGAAUUAGAUAAUAUAUUAAUAGUUGUUGUCGUUAGCUACAUUUUUUCGGGAGCUAUAUAUAGAGUGAGAGGGUGGGAGGUGGAGGUUUGGCUUCUACUUGAAUUUUUUUCAAACUGAUGAAUAUUGCACUUGUACAUUAGCAGUAUAUGGAAUGAAGUGCUCAAAUGUGUUAUGAGUCUCUUUCAACGUUCUGUCAAUUUGGGCCCUGUGAUGUCUCUUGAAUCUUUAUUGCUCAUAAUGUGCAGUGGACAUGUUUAGUUCUGCUUUGAAAAAUUGAGUCUGCAUGUCUAGCACCAGGUCUCCUUGUUUAUUGGCUAUUUAAAGAUGUGUAGUGGCUGUCCCUUCCAGCCUUCCUGCUUUUUACAUCAGAAAUCAUGAAAUUUCUUUUGCCUUUUGUUUAGUUGUUUGUGCAUGGAUGGAGUUGCUAGUUACUUUCAAUAUCUAAUCUCUUUGAAAGUGCACACCUGUCUUCUGCCCUUUUAAUGCAUAAAUCCUAAUGAUCUGAUAUACAGAAUUUAUCCUAAUGUUGAAGUUCCUGAGAUUUGGUCACAUUUCCUUAUCUUUGUAUAUAUCUUAUACAUGGCUAAAUUAGACCUUUCUUGACUACCUUUGAGAUGAUUUCAAUCAUAUUUUAGAACAAAGUUAAUGAUAAGUCCAUUGAAAUAGAUUUUUAAAAUCAAAAGUUAACAUAUAUGCCUAGAUGUAUGCUUAGAGUAUACAAAUAGAUCUUCCAGUUUCUUUUUUUUUUUUUUUUUUUUUU